rnacentral:lncRNA from 1 species
UCAGAAAAACAGCAGCAGAGUCUGUUUUCAAAAUUGAUUUCUGAAGAAUUUUUCAAAUAAGUGAAUCAGGACAACUAUACCAUGUUGAAGUAUGAACUUUGUAAUACAAGAUUUGGGUGUUGUUGGCCAGGAACAUGGAAGGGAACAAUUUCGAAAUUGAGCUCAAAGUCAGCACAUUGUCACAAUUGACUGUCACCCUGAAAAUGGUUAAGUCUGAAACCAGCAGCAUA